AAUUGUGCCACUCGAUCGUCUGCGAGGGUCACGGAUUGGGUGACACCUCCUGGAUACAAUCGGUUGAGUGAGGACCUGUUCUGUGGAUUGCUCUAUGAUCCAACAAUAUAUUGUUUCAACAGCAACUCGAUUAGAGCAGUGAGGUCCUGUUGUUGUGGUGUUGGGAAGGUGAUCGUGAAGUGAUUUUAGCAGCAACCUUGAUCCAGCAAGCAAUAGGGGCUGUGAAUCGAGGAUUCUGAUUCGAGACAGGCGUCUCGACGUUGACUUCGGAUUUUGAUUGACUGUACCUUCU